CUCGCUUCCGAAGUCCGAGUUGAUGGAAUCACAGUGUCGCUCGUACUCGCCCAGCAACGACAUGGCGGAGGCCGCAGCUCGGCGGGAGCCGCCUGCGUAUCCACGGCGGGUAGCCCCGGCCGCUUAGACCGCAGCCAGCGGCGUAGGUGGCCCUGCAGCCCAGUGAACUUCCAUGGUGGCGUCUGCCCCCUGACCCGGAAGCAGUUCUUAGUGUUUCCGGCUCGCUGAGGUUUUUCCUCCGCCUUCGCGUGCCCACUUGUUGCAGAUGCGUCCUGCACACAUUGAGCGAGCAUCGCUGGCUAUUCAACAUGAAGCAUUCCUGAAACAUCAGGUGCUAGACAUUCACCAUAUUUGAGAACACCGAAUGGGUGCUUCCGUCAAGACACCAAGGGAAUUGCAAUACAGUCAAUAAAGUUUCAUUAUUAUGUUACCUUAAACAACUUCCUAA